ensembl:lncRNA novel transcript, antisense to ZSCAN1
GAGAAGGCAAGCGUGAGAAGGCAAGCGCGGCAGCGAGGAUGAAGUGAAGGCAGCGGUGGGUCCGUGGGACCUGCACAGCCCGAGAGGGCCAUCGGGGACAGAGGCCGAGAGUGGGGGCAGCUUGGUUGAGAAGCAGCAGCAGGCGGAUGUGACGUGGGUAAGUCCAAAGGCUUUUGAUUUAGAAGGCGACUUGGAAAAAUGUCUCUGCCUGUGCGGAUUCACAGUCAGCCCAACACUGUGUUUCCAAGUGAAGUCGGGAGGAGAAAAAGAAAAAGGCAAAAACUUUUAAGGCUUUUGCUUGAAAGGGGACGAGUGUCCGACAACAAUGAGUUGGGGACGGGUGAGAAGCCGAGUCCGAGGCUGGCUCCCCGCUGUGACGUCACCGCCUGCCCACACUCUGCUCCAGCCUAGCAGGAGAGGCGGGCCCACUCUUUGGAGACCAUCUGAUCCUUCCUGGCAGACCAGAAAGCCAGAUUUUUAUGGUUUAAACAAAUGUUGGCAUCUAUCUAAAAAAAAAAUCCUUCUGUAAGUCAAACAAAAUACAGGCAGGUCAGUUUUGGUCAGGCCUAAAGACUGCGCCUGAAAUCCUCAGAGACAGGAAGCAGAUUCUGGUUGUCAGGGCGGGCAGGAAUGGCGAAGGCGUGCUGAGGACUGUGGGCUCUCUUUCUGGGCAAGACGAAAACAUCUUUGGAGCUAGAGAGUGCUGGUAGUUGCACAGUGUUGUGAAUGUGCUUAAUGCCACUGAACUGUUCAUUUUUAAUGACUGAAAUGGUAAAUUUUAUGUUGCAUGUACUUUACCCAAAAAA